AAUACUAUAUCACUCGGGGGUAUAGUAGUGUUUAUUAGAUACAGAACCAAUACACCUUUUUUAAAGGGUGUAGAAAAAGGUGAUUCAUAGUAACCGAACGGAUCGCAUUAUAAUCAUUUCKAUGAUUGGCGAUAGAUCAUUCAAGUUUCUGACCUAUCAGCUUUCGACGGUAGUGUAUUGGACUACCGUGGCAGUGACGGGUAACGGGGAAUUAGGGUUCGAUUCCGGAGAGGGAGCCUGAGAAACGGCUACCACAUCUAAGGAAGGCAGCAGGCGCGCAAAUUACCCAAUCCUGACUCAGGGAGGUAGUGACAAGAAAUAACAACACUGGAAAUUCUAUUUCUAGUGAUUGGAAUGAUGGGAAUCCAAACCCCUUUCAGAGUAACAAUUGGAGGGCAAGUCUGGUGCCAGCAGCCGCGGUAAUUCCAGCUCCAAUAGCGUAUAUUAAAGUUGUUGCAGUUAAAAAGCUCGUAGUUGGAUAUCUGCUGGAAGCAAUCAGUCCGCCCUUUUAGUGAGGGUGUGUACUUGAUGAAUUCUGGCAUGAUUAUCUUCCCASURAUAAUAUUAUUAUAUUAGGUURAUUCCUAAUAUGGUAAUAAUUAUUUUUGGGAAGACAGUUACUUUGAGAAAAUUAGAGUGUUUGAAGCAGGCUUGUUGCCUUGAAUACUGCAGCAUGGAAUAACAAUAUAGGAUUUCGGUUCUAUUUUGUUGGUUUCUAGGACUGAAAUAAUGAUUAAUAGGGACAGUUGGGGGCAUUCGUAUUUAACUGUCAGAGGUGAAAU
rnacentral:rRNA from 1 species